ACCACAGGGCUGCACAUCUGGAGUUAUUACAAGGCUUCCUCCCGCUUGCCAAGAAAACGCCGACAUUCCUGCCCUCGCUACAAAGACCGUGGAGCCUCUGCUCUCAUCCAGCCCCACUCCUACACACACAUCCAUCACUCAAAACGUCCAAAAAAAACCCCCGCACAUACGCUCGCAUGCGCCGAAUGCAGGGCAUGCACGAGAAAGACGAACACGCGGGAGCUUUUUUACGAAACACACAUAUGCCUCCACAGACAUCCUCCCGUCUUCCCACAUACGCUUCCACUAAAAAAGCUCCCUCCCUCUGCAGCCAGCCGCUGUUCCAAAACUUUACAGCGCGCCAAAUGAAUGCAUCUCACUUCCUGUUCACCUUUGACCCUUACACUUUCUCCUCAUAAGAAGAAAGACAGAAAGGAAAAGAGGGGAGGAGGAGAGGAAGGGGGAGCCAGACAGAGGGAGGAGAGAGAGAGAAAGAAGAGAGGAGAAAGGAAAAAUGGGGGGCCGGCGAGCUCCUCCUCUUUCUCCCUCCAUAUCUCCUCUCUCUCUCGCUCCUUUUCUCCUUCUGUCUCUCGAAGGGGAAACUUGGUGGCCAGUUCUUUUGCCACGUCGAACCUCCAGCCGGUCCACCUUGCUCAUAACUGGAGCGCUUCUUCUUCUUCUUUUUUUUUGGCUCUAGGAAGUAGAAUAAGAACACCAUCAAGAAGCAGCUUCUGCCUCCUAAACAGUGCGGCAGGAGAUUCUGAGGAAAGAAGAGCGACAUCAGCCGAGAAGAAGAAGAAGAAGAAGAAGAAGAAGAAACAUCAGUCAAGAAGUCGCAGGCCGUUCUUCUCCUCCGGCUCGCUCCAUCUCCAGCCUGAUCAGCACUUUGUAGUCAGACUGCGAGGAGCUGGAAGUCUCGCGGUGAGUACUGGCUCAAUCUGGAAGCCUAAACUUUCUCCACAGCAUCCUCCAGCCGCCCAGCCCGCCUGCCCAGUGUUCAGACUACCUGUUCAGGAAGUAGUGGUUGUACAGUAGUCUGCACAUUGGUUAGGCUGGCCGGGGAAGCACGGGACAAAGCGUACAAAAGGAAGAAAAGAAACUAAAAGCGCUGCAGAGGGCAUCCAGAGCACAUCUGUGGGAGCAAACAGCAGCACCACCCCUCGUCCAUCUGGACCAGCCUGUGCACAAGCCUAAAUAAAGCACCCAAAGGCCCCACCACAGAGGCCUAGCCCUCGCCCAGGAUGGAUUUAUGAGUGACAGGCGUCCUAAAAAUGUAGCCAUCAGGUUCAUUUUGCUAUAAAAGUGUUGUGUACUGUCAUCUAACCAAGAGCUUGUGGAAAUAAUCUGAAAUAGUUGAAAUAAAGAUUCUUGGAUUCUGA